rnacentral:rRNA from 1 species
CAACAGUACGUGAAACCGCCUAGAGGUAAACGGGUGGAUCCGCAAAGUCGGCCCGCGGAAUUCAGCUCGGAAGGUCGCGCGCCCGUCGCCGGGUAGGAGAUCGCAAGACUCUCCUGGCGCGGGACGCGCGUCGGCCGUGUGCACUUUCCGCGGGCAGAGCGCCACGACCGGUUCUCGGGCGGUCAGAAGGCGGCGAGGAUGGUAGGCGUGCGCCUCGGCGCGCGCUGGUAUAGCCUCGCCUGUCCCGAUCCGCCUGGGGACCGAGGAGCCGCCGCCGGCUGGGGCCGCCUCGCCCUCCUGGGAUGUUCGACUGGCAGAGACUGGGCAACCGUGUCUGCCGACCGCUUCCUUGGACGGACUGGGGUGGGCCCGCUGGCACAGGGUCAGUGGCGAAUCGGUCGGCCCUCCACCCGACCCGUCUUGAAACACGGACCAAGGAGUCUAACAUGCGCGCGAGUCGUUGGGUCGUACGAAACCCGAAGGCGAAGUGAAAGCGAGGGCCGUCUCUGACGUGCUCAGGUGGGAUCUCGUGGCCUUUGGUCGUGGGCGCACCACCGGCCCGUCUCGUCCGCG